UGAAGCCGGUGUCGGAGCGGGAACAGCAGUGUCGCCGCCGCCCGCGGUGGGCGCCGCGCCCUGAGCGCCUUGUUGUUCUCGUUUCUCACCUGUCUUGUGAUCGUCCGUGCCGUUCGCUGGGUCACGAUGGAAGUGCCGCCCUCGGCCAGCGUUCCCAACGAGUGCACUCCGGCAGUGGCCGGGGCAGAGGUGCGCUGCCCGGGCCCCACGCCGCUGCGUCUGCUGGAGUGGAAGGUGGCGGCGGGCGCAACCGUGCGCAUCGGCUCGGUGCUGGCAGUGUGCGAAGCCGCAGUCUCCGCGCAGCCCGCAGGGCCAGCCCCGACUCGCGCGGCCUCUGGGGGCUGCGUGCGCGCCGCGCGGGCCGAGCGCAGGCUCAGGUCGGAGCGCGCCGGCGUGGUCCGUGAACUGUGUGCGCAGCCAGGCCAGGUGGUGGCCCCUGGAGCACUUCUGGUGAGGUUGGAAGGAUGCAGCCACCCUGUUGUCAUGAAGGGCCUGUGUGCCGAGUGUGGCCAGGACCUGACCCAGUUGCAGAGUCAGAAUGGAAAGCAGCAGGUCCCUCUUUCUACAGCGACUGUUUCCAUGGUGCACAGUGUGCCGGAGUUGAUGGUGAGCUCUGAGCAAGCUGAAAAAUUAGGAAGAGAAGAUCAGCAGCGACUACAUCGAAACAGAAAACUGGUUCUCAUGGUUGACUUGGACCAGACUCUGAUUCAUACGACAGAGCAGCACUGUCCUCAGAUGUCCAACAAGGGCAUCUUUCACUUCCAGCUGGGCCGAGGAGAGCCGAUGCUGCACACCCGCCUGAGGCCUCACUGCAAGGACUUCUUGGAGAAGAUUGCCAAGCUGUAUGAGCUGCAUGUUUUCACUUUUGGCAGCCGUCUGUAUGCCCACACCAUUGCAGGCUUUUUGGACCCUGAAAAGAAGCUUUUUUCUCAUCGAAUAUUGUCUAGAGAUGAAUGUAUUGACCCAUUUUCUAAAACAGGAAACCUUAGAAAUCUCUUUCCCUGUGGUGACUCAAUGGUCUGCAUCAUUGAUGACCGAGAGGAUGUGUGGAAAUUCGCCCCUAACCUUAUAACUGUGAAGAAGUAUGUCUACUUCCCAGGCACAGGGGAUGUGAAUGCACCCCCUGGGGCCCGGGAAUCUCAGACAAGGAAAAAAGUAAAUCAUUCUUCGAAAGGAGCGGAUGUCUUGGAGCAAGCUCUGUCAGUGAAGGACCCUGAGGAAGGCAGACCUACUCCUGGGGCGGAGCAGAGCAAUGGUCUUGGGAAGGCCUCCCGCGAGCUCAAUGGUGGUGAGGCUGUGCCAGGAGCUUUGCCCAGUAAAACAGAUGAGAAGGAGACCUGCUCCCUCACCCGGGCCUCUCCUGCCAGUAGCUCCAGUGGCCACAAGCUGACAGAAGCUCCAGAGCUCCCUGUGUCUUGUGAGUGGGACAGCCGGACAACACCAGGAGUGCAGCCUGCUCAGGGAGAUGCCACCCAGGACUUGGACUUUGAUCUGUCCAGCGACAGUGAGACCAGCGAGAGCAGCAGGUCAGAAGGUCAGAAGUCCUGCUCUGCUUCCGAUGGGGAGAGCGAGGAGAGGAGAUGCAGAAGGAAGUCUCCAGCAACCCAGGAUAGGACAAAAGUUCCACAGCACAGUGGGCCCCAGGACACAAGUGGGGGGAGAUCUGCGGCAAGCCCCUUGGGAGAGUCUAGCAUUCACCCACAUGACAAAGGACCAGACCUGGAUACUCAGGAGGAGAGUGAACGGGACAGCCUCUGUGGCCUGGGCAAUGGCAGUGUGGACCGGAAGGAGGCUGAGACAGAGUCGCAGAACAGUGAGCAGUCAGGCGUCACUGCAGGCGAGUCCCUGGACCAGAGUGUCGGCGAGGAGGAGGAAGAGGACACGGAUGACGAUGACCACCUGAUACACCUCGAGGAGAUCCUGGUCCGAGUACACACUGACUAUUACACGAAAUAUGACAGAUUCCUCAACAAGGAGCUUGAGGAAGCUCCAGAUAUUCGCAAAAUUGUACCAGAGCUCAAGAGCAAGGUGCUAGCAGAUGUGGUUGUAAUAUUCAGUGGGCUGCACCCAACAAACUUUCCUGUGGAAAAGACUCGUGAGCAUUAUCAUGCCACGGCUCUGGGAGCCAAGGUCCUCACCCAGCUGGUGCUAAGCCCUGAUGCUCCAGACAGGGCCACUCAUCUCAUUGCAGCUCGGGCUGGUACAGAGAAGGUGCGCCAAGCACAGGAGUGCAAACACCUGCAUGUGGUCAGCCCUGAUUGGCUGUGGAGCUGCCUGGAACGCUGGGACAAGGUAGAGGAGCAGCUCUUCCCACUCGUAGAUGACGAUGCCCAGACACACAGGGGUAACAGCCCUGCAGCCUUUCCAGACAGACACAAUGUGCUUCCAACAGCCUUGUUCCAUCCAACACCCAUCCAUUCGAAGGCCCAUCCUGGUCCUGAGGUUCGGAUCUAUGACUCAAACACAGGCAAGCUCAUCCGGAUGGGCACCCAGGGUUCUGCAGCAGCUCCCUCCAGUGCCCCACUUAUCCAUGGAGAGCCUUCCUCCUUCAGUUGGACAGCAGUGCCUCCAGAAUUUAAAGCAGCCGCAAAGUCAGUAUGUGCUGGUGUGCACCUGCGCAACACCUGUGCAGUCUGCUUUCCACGCUGCGGAAACCAACUCAGCUUCUCAUUUCUUUUUCCUUAAAUAAAAAGCAAAGGCACCUUGUCUUAAGAGCUGUUCAGCCACAGCAGCAGCAGAUGUUUGGCGAAGAGCUGCCAGAAUCUCAAGAUGGAGAGCAGCCUGGCCCUGCUAGAAGAAAGCGACAACCCAGUAUGUCAGAGACAAUGCCGCUGUACACUCUCUGUAAGGAGGACUUAGAGAGUAUGGACAAAGAGGUCGAUGACAUCCUUGGAGAAGGCAGUGAUGACAGUGACAUCGAGAGGAAGAAGCCAGAAGACCAAGACAAUGAACAGGAGAGAGCACCGAAGCCCAGGAAGCCCAGGGCCCCAGGGAUCCGAAGAGAGCAGCCUGUAGGGUUGCCCUCAUCUGGCGAGAGGAGCGCCACUGCCAUGCGUGGGCCCAGAGGCCACAAGAGGAAACUGAAUGAGGAAGAUGCUGCCAGCGAGUCCAGCGGGGAGUCCAGCAAUGAUGAUGAAGAGGGCAGCAGCUCGGAGGCAGAUGAGAUGGCUGCUGCUCUGGAGGCGGAGCUUAAUGACCUCAUAUGACUUGGACCCGCCCCAUACCAGCCCUUGGCGUGGGUCCUUUUUCUCCAGAAAAACAUAUAUUUUGCAGAGCUCCACAUACAGAAACACAUUAUUUUGCAGAAAUAAGUGUUUGUAAGAAGUUUUACUAUAGGAAAGUCUACUUUUUUAAGUAACAAAGUGUUCUGAGGAGUUGGUGUGUGAUGCCAAAGAGCUCAGCAGGGCUUCUCACGGCAAGUGUGGCUAUGUGAUGUCUGGUCAUGUAGUGAGGGCCUCAGGGCUUGCCUUUGAAUGCCCCAGCAGCAUGUUUAGUGUGAGGACAGGACCCAGAAGACUUAGAGAGCAAUAGAUCAAAACUGGCAUCCUGGGCCUUUUCCAUAGCCGAGGCUAUCAGAAUUUCAGUGUACAUAUGUGUACAGGACACCAAGACUCACAGGCAGGCCUGAGAGGCCCAGCCACCCUUCAGGCCCUCAGUGGAUAUGCAGAUGGCUGGAGUUCCUGAGUCGGGUCUUUGUCUGCAGCCUGGGCCGCUGGGCCACAGCCUGCCAGCAUGGGCCAUGUGAGGAAAGGCGGCCUGGACUGCCCUGAGAUCUGAUGUAAAGUUUUUGUAUAUUUCAUACUCCACCCACCAGAUUCUGAUUCCAUUUAAUAAAAUCCUUUUUGUAA